ensembl:lncRNA
AGAAUGCCAGCUGAAGUUAAUGAUGAGAGUGGAAUAUAGGUAGAAUGUACUGUAUAAGAAACUGGAGACACUGAACUAAAUACUUGUGUAUGUUUUUUUUUUAUGUGCAAUAUCUCACUUAUCAAGGGUGUGGUGCCAAAGGGGUGCAGAUCACUUUACUUGCACUUCCACAUUUCAAACCCUCGAUAUGGUUUAUCUUUCAGCAAUACGCAGUGAUUAAGGUUCCCCGGGACAACACAGUUGAUGUAGUGCCUUCCAACUGGCUUGAAGAAACAGAAGAGGUAUUAUCAAUUAGUAGUAUAUCUUAGUAGCUUAAAGGGAUAGUUCAACCAGAAAUUAAAAUUCUGUCAUCAUUUACUUACCCUCAAGUUGUUUCAAACCUGUAUUAAUGUAACCAAACAGUUGUUUGGCACCAUUGACUUCCAUAGUAGGAAAAAAUAUUAUGGAAGUCAGUGGUGCCCCAAAUGUUUGUGUGUGCCCUUUACUAAACCCAUCUUUUUUCAGCUAAUGUCUAUUAUGAAGGGUUAACAUGAAUACCUGCUCUGAACAGGGUAUAUAUUGCUACUGGCCAAGAAAAAAUUUGACUGCCAAAGCAAAAAGAAGAGAAACUCCAGAUACCUUCUGGUCAAAACAUGUUGCAGUGGUUCUGGUGUAUGCAGGUAUUUAGGAUGAUUUAAGAUUUAUAUUUGUCACAUACAUGGUUAAUACUGUUCUCUUUCUGGUGAAAACAAGCUAUCAUGUUCUUUCCAGAUAGCUAUGAGGAAGCAAGACUGAAGGCCAACCAGGCUAGUGUGACAUCAGACCUGGAGAGUGAUGAGGAAUCUCCAUGGAGACCAGUACGACCUCCAGCUAGAUACAGAAGACGGCUGGAUAGUGACAACACAGGGUUGAAGAAACUUGAACGAGUCAUGAACAUUCGACUUGACAAAAUGGAACAAAGGAUGUCAGCCAUUGAAACUCUUUUAAGAAAUAUUACCCAGUCAAACGACAAUUCUGAGUUUCAGCUUAAUCUUUGCCAGAGCACACAGGAACU